rnacentral:lncRNA from 1 species
AUGGAAAGGGAGGAACUGAUGAGCAGAUUGCUGAUAAGUAACCUCUGUGCUCACUAAGAGAACAACAUCUGACCAAAGGAAAGAAAGGCCUUUGAAUUAUUAACAGACUAUUCUGAGACAUUGUUGGCAAUUCAGUGGGGUCAUGAAGGCUGGCAGGUUGUCAUAGUAACAGAGAUGAUGAGACCAAAUGUAUAGCCCUCCUACAAAAAUGAGUCUAACUGCUGCUUUUCAUAUUCUAAUGGCUGGUCCAGAAUUUCUAAUAGUAACAUUAUUGGAGUGGAACAUAUUUUCUAGUUUAAUUACAUAUACUUCUCUGUAGGCAGAGCCGUUAUAAAUGUAUUUUCUAAAUGUAUUCUAGAGUAUGCUUCUGUAGGAAAGCCUUCCCACAACUGAGGUUUUAAAUUUGUAUUUGAGAACUCAUGGAAUGUGUUAUUUAUUCAUAUUUCACAAUGGUAUUACUGACCCAUUAUUCUGUAGUGAUUGACUUCUCUAGUGGCUCUCAAGGUUUGUUAGAGUCAACUGCCUCUGUAGUCUCAUGAUUUUAAUCACUGCUGUUGAGAAAAAUGCCUGGGAGACUCUAUUUCUGAUGUGUUUUUUUAUUGUUGUUCUAAGAAACACUAACUUUCUUGUAGCUGAUUGCACCCUAAGUAGAAACC